AAGUCGUAACAAGGUUUCCGUAGGUGAACCUGCGGAAGGAUCAUUACUGAGAACUUGCCCUUUGGGUAGAUCUCCCACCCUAUGUUUACAUACUUUGUUGCUUUGGCAGGCCUGCAUCUGUGCUACUGGCCUUGGCUAGUUAGUGCCUGCCAGAGAACCAACACUCUGAAUCAUUUAUUGUCUGAGUACUAUUUAAUAGUUAAAACUUUCAACAACGGAUCUCUUGGUUCUG
rnacentral:misc_RNA from 1 species